rnacentral:rRNA from 1 species
CCUACGGGAGGCAGCAGUGGGGAAUAUUGGACAAUGGGGGGAACCCUGAUCCAGCGACGCCGCGUGAGUGAAGAAGUAUUUCGGUAUGUAAAGCUCUAUCAGCAGGGAAGAAAGAAAUGACGGUACCUGACUAAGAAGCGCCGGCUAACUACGUGCCAGCAGCCGCGGUAAUACGUAGGGGGCAAGCGUUAUCCGGAUUUACUGGGUGUAAGGGGAGCGUAGACGGGGAUGCAAGUCUGAAGUGAAAGGCGGGGGCCCAACCCCCGGACUGCUUUUGAAACUGUAUGGCUGGAGUGCAGGAGAGGUAAGUGGAAUUCCUAGUGUAGCGGUGAAAUGCGUAGAUAUUAGGAGGAACACCAGUGGCGAAGGCGGCUUACUGGACUGUAACUGACGUUGAGGCUCGAAAGCGUGGGGAGCAAACAGGAUUAGAUACCCUGGUAGUC